CUCAAACAGCUCUGCUGAAAGAUAUUUUCCUCCUCAUUUUAUAUUAAAGCAUAGCCCUGAAAGUUGUGAUUGCAAAGAAUACUCUCCCAGCAUCCCUUCCCCCUGAUAUCAUGGUAUCAUUCCCCAAAUUCCCUAUGCAUAAAGGAAGUUUUCCAUCCCUUUGUAGGACCUGAAAAGAAGAAGGAUGAAGUUAAUGGGCUGGAAAGGAAGCGGGGUGGCAUGAAGACUGGAGUGCUUCCAUGCUGACUUAGUCAGGAGGAUCCUGGUUUCCCAAGGUGCCUUGCCUCUCCUCAACUGUGCAGUGGUGAAUCCUAGGAAAAGCCAGGACUGUGCCAUGUCAGAGAUAGCGCUGAUGGUCAUUUAACAUCAGACACAAACUUCUGAUGGACCAGCCCUGGUAGUCUAAACCUGACUGUGCAUAUGGACACAAAUAGAGUCAUACUCCUUCAAUAAAUUAGUCUUAUCUCCAAAGUAACCA
rnacentral:lncRNA from 1 species